UACAGAGGGUGCAAGCGUUAAUCGGAAUUACUGGGCGUAAAGCGCGCGUAGGUGGUUCGUUAAGUUGGAUGUGAGAUCCCCGGGCUCAACCUGGGAACUGCAUUCAAAACUGACGAGCUAGAGUAUGGUAGAGGGUGGUGGAAUUUCCUGUGUAGCGGUGAAAUGCGUAGAUAUAGGAAGGAACACCAGUGGCGAAGGCGACCACCUGGACUGAUACUGACACUGAGGUGCGAAAGCGUGGGGAGCAAACAGG
rnacentral:rRNA from 1 species